rnacentral:lncRNA from 1 species
AAGCUUUCUCAUUGGGUCUGAAUCCUUUACAGUGGGAGCCUGCCUAGCAGGAUAAUUUUCACCUACAAAAUAACUCUGCAAGCACCAAAAAAAAAAGUAGCUAAAAGAAGAGACAUUUAUCCUCAUAAUCUGUACUAAUUAUCACUGCACUCUCUUGCUGCUCCAUCCGAGUUCGAGAGCUCGUUGCUCCCAGGAAGCUGUAAUC